CCUACGGGAGGCUGCAGUGAGGAAUAUUGGUCAAUGGACGAGAGUCUGAACCAGCCAAGUAGCGUGAAGGCUGACUGCCCUAUGGGUUGUAAACUUCUUUUAUAUGGGAAUAAAAUGUUCCACGUGUGGGAUGUUGUAUGUACCAUAGGAAUAAGGAUCGGCUAACUCCGUGCCAGCAGGCGCGGUAAUACGGAGGAUCCGAGCGUUAUCCGGAUUUAUUGGGUUUAAAGGGAGCGUAGGUGGGUUGUUAAGUCAGUUUUUAAAGUUUGCGGCUCAACCGUAAAAUUGCAGUUGAAACUGGCAGUCUUGAGUACAGUAGAGGUGGGCGGAAUGCGUGGUGUAGCGGUGAAAUGCUUAGAUAUCACGAAGAACUCCGAUUGCGAAGGCAGCUCACUGGACUGCAACUGACACUGCGCCUCGAAAGUGUGGGUAUCAAACAGGAUUAGAUACCCCGGUAGUC
rnacentral:rRNA from 1 species